rnacentral:rRNA from 1 species
GACGUAGGAGGCGAGCGUUGUCCGGAUUCAUUGGGCGUAAAGGGCGCGUAGGCGGCCUGGCAAGUGGAAGGUGAAAUCCCUCGGCUUAACCGAGGAACUGCCCUCCAAACUGCUUGGCUUGAGACCGGGAGAGGUGAGUGGAAUUCCCAGUGUAGCGGUGAAAUGCGUAGAUAUUGGGAGGAACACCAGUGGCGAAGGCGGCUCACUGGACCGGUACUGACGCUGAUGCGCGAAAGCGUGGGGAGCAAACGGG